AGACACAAAGGUGAGCAUAUCCAGGACAUAGUAGGAUAUGUGAACAGGCCUAAUCAAGGGAAGUGUGGGCUAUCUUGUAUCAGCAUCUAUCCUGCAAAGGUGCAACAAGGUGGAGAAGUGGGAAGAAAAGGGCCAGGGAAGAAUUCUACAGCGUCAGUGUCUCUGGGAGAGCUGGGCCCCUCUCCUCUCCUACUGAGCACGGCGGAGGACCACAGAGUCGCGGAGCCCUCCACCAUCCUAGAGAAGCUGGAAUGGCAGGAGUGCGCCGGCCUCCACCUCUCGCGUGAAGCAAUCUGGCCAACACAGAACGUGGAGAGCUGCAUGUGGGGUUGGCGGGGGCUUGAGGCCUGCGUCUUUCCAGGUCCGCUCCCGGGCCGAUGGCUGGUAUGUCAGCCCCGAGCGGUUCUGGAGCCUUCCUCCCAGACACCUGGCCGCCCCCGGUCUGACCCAGCGAGCAGCUGGUGGCCCUGGGAAGUGGGGCCCGUUUCAGCCCAGCGCUCAACCUGCUGCCAGGACAGCCCACGUUGUCAAAGGUUUUUCCAAACCAGAAUUCCUGGGAGCCACAGAACUGGGGUCCACUCAAUAGCAACAUGUGGUCCUGUGCCUGCUCGUGAAUGUUCUUCAGGAUAAAAUGUUCUUUCUCACUCUUCAACACCCCCUCUGAAAGGAGAAAACAGAGCUGCAAAUGUCAUCAGUACCCAUGACAGAGCGACUAAAGUCAUCAAGCUGUAUUAAUAUGUCCAUUUUUCUCAAGUGCCACUCCUGUGUCUAAGCAGGAGGGGAGAAUGAAGGUUGGGGGAAAGACUGGUAACACAGAUGACCUGAAAUUUGAGAGUAGUAAGAAUAUAAAGGACAGGAAAGAGAGGUUCAGGGAAGUUGGGAUUCCAUCAGUUCACCAAAAUACAAAAACUUGUCACUCAUUUUAAAAUGUCAAGAAGAAAUAGGAAAGACUAACGUCUCUGCACCUGCCCCUAGGAGCUGAAAGCCAAUUCAUAUAGAAAACUAUCCUGACAGGAUAGAAUUUCAAAGAGCUGCUCCUGAGGCUGUGUUGGGAAAUCACCAUCUCUUACUUCCCUUCCUUCCUAUCCAUCAUAGCCUUCUCUUUUUAUAAGGGUCAGCGAUGAGUCUCUCUAUGGCAUCCAUAAAAAUGGCCUCAUAGCCUCACUCAGCCACUUCCAGAAGUCACUUCUAACUCUAAUGAUAAACACCUAAGGAUAAAACUCUAGUGAUAAAAAUAUGUAAAGCACAUAUUUACAAAGGUCCACUCUAAUAAAUUCUUCAGAGUUAGUUAAGCUCUGUUUCUUUGUAACUCCCAUCCAAGCCUGGAGAACUGUAGACCAAUUCUACAAUUUCCAAGGGAAAUUGAGUAGUAACAUGAGCUCCAGGAAGGGCUGCUGCAGGUCAGGGAGUUCAGGUUUUAUUUAAGGAAUAACCUCGCUGUUAGCUUUCUGUCUAAAGCAGAGAUGGGAAAUUCCCUGGAGUGAUAGCGAGAGUAGGUCCUGAGAUCCUGAGAGAAUCUAGAGGACACUGUGGUUCCCUCCCUACAUCCAUUCUCCUCCCCCUCCCCGACUAGGGAGUAGCCAGGCCCUUUGGGUGGGAGUAAUCCCAACUCCAGCUUCUAGCAUAGGCCCCCACUGAGAUAAGCCAAGUAAGUUCUCCCAUCUAAGUCACUACAUGAGAGACCUGUUCAGAGACCAGCAAUCCAGGCCAAGUCAGUCAAUGCACAGCUUCUCCCUGGCUAUGGGACCAAUUUAGAGCCGGCAUAAGACUUAAGAUGGUGAGUAGAGCAACACGUGGACUGUGACUCACCAUGGUUAGAGCCUAAGGAAGGCCUGCCCUGUUCCUCCCCCUGGGUGUGAAGAAGCACAGUCCUGGUUACAACUACCAAUCACAUUCACACUAAGGAGAAACUUUAUGAAUGUAAGGGCUUUAAGAAAGGCUUCAUGUGGAACUUGGGUCUCGCUCGGCACCCCUGGGUCCACACUGGAGAGAAGCCUCAUGAAUGUAUUGACUGUGAGGAAAGCUUUAUUUGCGAGGCACAUCUCACUUGUUAUCAGAGAAUCCAUACUGGGGAAAGGCCCUAGACAUGUAACAACUGUGGGAAAGCCUUCACUUAGAAUUCUGUUUUGAUUAUGUAUCAGAGGUGCCGUGCUGGAGAGAAACCCUAUAACCGUCAGACUUCUCACCUUCUUGAACAGUAGAGAAUGCGUAAUGGUGAUAUUUGUUUCUAAUUCUUAUGCUACAGGAACCCCAACCACAAGAUGAAAUGAUGGCCCACAGUUUGCUGGACUGCAACAUCCAGUAUUAUCUUGCCCCUUCUGAGUGAAUACCCUGUACUCUGGCAAGACUGGUUUCCCUGUUCAGCCGUAUUCAUACCAGGCAACGUUUAGUUGAGCACCUACUCUGUGUCAGGUACUGUGCUAACUGUUUUACAUACAUUCCUUCAGUUCAGUUCAGUUCAGUUCAGUCGCUCAGUCGUGUCCGACUCUUUGCGACCCCAUGAAUCGCAGCACGCCAGGCCUCCCUGUCCAUCACCAACUCCCGGAGUUCACUCAGACUCAUGUCCAUCGAGUCGGUGAUGCCAUCCAGCCAUCUCAUCCUCUGUCAUCCCCUUCUCCUCCUGCCCCCAAUCCCUCCCAGCAUCAGAGUCUUUUCCAAUGAGUCAACUCUUCACAUGAGGUGGCCAAAGUACUGGAGUUUCAGCUUUAGCAUCAUUCCUUCCAAAGAAAUCCCAGGGCUGAUCUCCUUCAGAAUGGACUGGUUGGAUCUCCUUGCAGUCCAAGGGACUCUCAGAGUCUUCUCCAACACCACAGUUCAAAAGCAUCAAUUCUUG
ensembl:lncRNA